CGCUCAAAUUAUCCGGAUGAUAAUAGUUACACCGAGCAUGGUUUCGUAGUUAAAUUCAGACUGUAGAACAUCCGGUUUGAAUACAUGUGUUUUCUGACUUUUCGGAUAGCCAACUCUUGUUUUUUGGAACUUACGACUUAUGGCAAGAGAGAAGAAAACUGCGUGACUUUAAAAGAAAACCAGUGAGAUAAAAUCAUAGAAAAUGUAUGAUGAUUCAGGAUGUGGUCAUUUGUGACAUUAAAACAGGAAUUGUCAUCACCAAUAGACGAAUUUCACAUUCCUAAGAGUUUUCUCCAAUUGGCGGCGUAUCGCUCAUUUUUCCCACUUUGUCCUUUGUCCUGUUCUGUGGAUGCCCUAAGACAGUGUCUACCCAUCACUCCAUCUGAAAUCACUUGUUCUGUGCAUAUUUCUCUCUCAGACUUAAACUACAGAGAGCCUGUGGAUAGAGGAUGAAGAGUGACCUUGGACUAAUUUUCUAGGUCAAAGAUCAUAGGUGAUGUGAAGAAAACCAGGAAACUGAUGUUGAAAGAAGUACUUAAUGACCCUUAUGAAUGGACUUAAAUGUGAAAGACUGUUCCAUUGUUUAUCUAAGAUAUAUGAAUUUGUUUAAUAUUUUGA